AUUGAACGCUGGCGGCAGGCCUAACACAUGCAAGUCGAACGAGCGGCGGACGGGUGAGUAAUGUAUGGGGAACUGCCCGAUGGAGGGGGAUAACUACUGGAAACGGUGGCUAAUACCGCAUACUAUCAGAUGAGCCCAGAUGGGAUUAGCUUGUAGGUGGGGUAACGGCUCACCAAGGCGACUAUCCCUAGCUGGUCUGAGAGGAUGAUCAGCCACACUGGAACUGAGACACGGCCCAGACUCCUACGGGAGGCAGCAGUGGGGAAUAUUGCACAAUGGGCGCAAGCCUGAUGCAGCCAUGCCGCGUGUAUGAAGAAGGCCUUCGGGUUGUAAAGUACUUUCAGCGGGGAGGCGUUACCCGCAGAAGAAGCACCGGCUAACUCCGUGCCAGCCGCCGCGGUAAUUC
rnacentral:rRNA from 1 species